GAUGAACGCUGACAGAAUGCUUAACACAUGCAAGUCGAUGGGGAAGUGGUGCUUGCACCAUGGCAACCAUGGCGGACGGGUGAGUAACGCGUAAGGGACUUACCUGCAGGACUGGGAUAACAGGGGGAAACUCCUGACAAGACCGGAUAAUGUCAUGGAGCUGCAUGGCUUUAUGAUGAAAGGAGACGCCUGCGGAGAGCCUUGCGUCCUAUUAGCUAGUUGGUGAGGUAAUGGCUCACCAAGGCGAAGAUAGGUAGCCGGCCUGAGAGGGUGGACGGCCACAAGGGGACUGAGAUACGGCCCUUACUCCUACGGGAGGCAGCAGUGGGGAAUAUUGGACAAUGGGGGCAACCCUCAUCCAGCAAUUCUGUGUGCACGAAGAAGGUUUUCGGAUUGUAAAGUGCUUUCAGCAGGGAAGAAGUAAGUGACGGUACCUGCAGAAGAAGCGACGGCUAAAUACGUG
rnacentral:rRNA from 1 species